GGUCGUAAUUCCAAUUCCAAGAGGCUCUUGGGUUAUGUGGCAACUCUGAAAGAUAAUUUUGGAUUUAUUGAAACAGCCAAUCAUGAUAAGGAAAUAUUUUUCCAUUAUAGUGAAUUCUCUGGUGAUGUUGAUAGCCUGGAACUGGGGGACAUGGUUGAGUACAGCUUGUCCAAAGGCAAAGGCAACAAAGUCAGCGCUGAAAA